rnacentral:tRNA from 1 species
GGCGCUGUAGUCUAGUGGUUAAGGCAGCUCGGCGGUCAGCCGAGUGUUUCGCAGGUUCAAAUCCUGUCAGCGCCG